rnacentral:rRNA from 1 species
UACAGAGGUCCCAAGCGUUUGUUCGGAUUCAUUGGGCGUAAAGGGUGCGUAGGCGGCGCGGUAAGUCGGGUGUGAAAUCUCGGAGCUUAACUCCGAAACUGCAUUCGAUACUGCCGUGCUUGAGGACUGGAGAGGAGACUGGAAUUUACGGUGUAGCGGUGAAAUGCGUAGAUAUCGUAAGGAAGACCAGCGGCGAAGGCGGCGCUCUGGGCCGGUACUGACGCUGAGGAGCGAAAGCGUGGGGAGCGAACAGG